rnacentral:lncRNA from 1 species
AUUUUAGAACAAGCCACCACAAGCCAGGAAUGCUGCUUAAAAAGCAAGUGGAAGAUGAAUUCUUCCAGGUGAAAUGAAAACAUCAGAGCAAUUUGAAAACAUCAAAGCAGUUUUAAAAUGUCUCUAAAAUGCAUAUAUUUUGGACUUACAAAGAGAUGAAGAAGAAAGCAUAAUUUCUCAUGAGAAAUCAUGAAGCCAGAAGGAAGCAGCACAACGGUCUUCAAGUACUGAACAAAAUGAACUAUCAACUGUAGAAUUCAAUAUUCAGUAAAAUCAUCCUUUAGGAAUGAAAGAGAAAUAAAGUUUUUCUUUAUCCACCAUUAGACAAAGGAAACCAAGAGAAUUUGCCAGUAGCAGAUAUACCCUCACUAGCAGAUAUACCCUAAAUGAAUGGCAAAGGAAGUCCUCUAUAACCAGAAGAAAAAGGAUUGAAAAAAGGAGUCUUAGAACACCAGGAAGAAAAGAAGAAUAAUGGAAAAAGCAAAAAUGGCAAGUUGAGCAGUGAAGUGGCAGCCUGCUGUGUUGGGGUGAUGGCCUCACUUUUGUCAUAUUAAUGUGAGAUACAUAAGCAGGUGAGUGUCAGAGGAGAAUGUAGGAUUGUGGGCAAUCCUAAACCAGUUAGUUAGGUAGAAUUCACCGAAAUCGAAUUAAAUUUCACAAAACUACCAUUGCUGUGUG